rnacentral:rRNA from 2 species
CGCUGGCGGCGUGCCUAAUACAUGCAAGUCGAACGAGUUCUGAUUAUUGAAAGGUGCUUGCAUCUUGAUUUAAUUUUGAACGAGUGGCGGACGGGUGAGUAACACGUGGGUAACCUGCCCUUAAGUGGGGGAUAACAUUUGGAAACAGAUGCUAAUACCGCAUAAAUCCAAGAACCGCAUGGUUCUUGGCUGAAAGAUGGCGUAAGCUAUCGCUUUUGGAUGGACCCGCGGCGUAUUAGCUAGUUGGUGAGGUAACGGCUCACCAAGGCAAUGAUACGUAGCCGAACUGAGAGGUUGAUCGGCCACAUUGGGACUGAGACACGGCCCAAACUCCUACGGGAGGCAGCAGUAGGGAAUCUUCCACAAUGGACGCAAGUCUGAUGGAGCAACGCCGCGUGAGUGAAGAAGGCUUUCGGGUCGUAAAACUCUGUUGUUGGAGAAGAAUGGUCGGCAGAGUAACUGUUGUCGGCGUGACGGUAUCCAACCAGAAAGCCACGGCUAACUACGUGCCAGCAGCCGCGGUAAUACGUAGGUGGCAAGCGUUAUCCGGAUUUAUUGGGCGUAAAGCGAGCGCAGGCGGUUUUUUAAGUCUGAUGUGAAAGCCCUCGGCUUAACCGAGGAAGUGCAUCGGAAACUGGGAAACUUGAGUGCAGAAGAGGACAGUGGAACUCCAUGUGUAGCGGUGAAAUGCGUAGAUAUAUGGAAGAACACCAGUGGCGAAGGCGGCUGUCUGGUCUGUAACUGACGCUGAGGCUCGAAAGCAUGGGUAGCGAACAGGAUUAGAUACCCUGGUAGUCCAUGCCGUAAACGAUGAAUGCUAGGUGUUGGAGGGUUUCCGCCCUUCAGUGCCGCAGCUAACGCAUUAAGCAUUCCGCCUGGGGAGUACGACCGCAAGGUUGAAACUCAAAGGAAUUGACGGGGGCCCGCACAAGCGGUGGAGCAUGUGGUUUAAUUCGAAGCAACGCGAAGAACCUUACCAGGUCUUGACAUCUUUUGAUCACCUGAGAGAUCAGGUUUCCCCUUCGGGGGCAAAAUGACAGGUGGUGCAUGGUUGUCGUCAGCUCGUGUCGUGAGAUGUUGGGUUAAGUCCCGCAACGAGCGCAACCCUUAUGACUAGUUGCCAGCAUUUAGUUGGGCACUCUAGUAAGACUGCCGGUGACAAACCGGAGGAAGGUGGGGAUGACGUCAAAUCAUCAUGCCCCUUAUGACCUGGGCUACACACGUGCUACAAUGGAUGGUACAACGAGUUGCGAGACCGCGAGGUCAAGCUAAUCUCUUAAAGCCAUUCUCAGUUCGGACUGUAGGCUGCAACUCGCCUACACGAAGUCGGAAUCGCUAGUAAUCGCGGAUCAGCACGCCGCGGUGAAUACGUUCCCGGGCCUUGUACACACCGCCCGUCACACCAUGAGAGUUUGUAACACCCGAAGCCGGUGGCGUAACCCUUUUAGGGAGCGAGCCGUCUAAGGUGGGACAAAUGAUUAGGGUGA